AUUCUUACAUUGAUACCAGUGGAUUAUCGGAUUUAUCCAAUCGAGAUAGUUAAAUUAUCAAUUUUAAAGUCCAAGCCGCCUCGGCGAGGACUUUAAAAUUUAUAAUUUAACUAUCGAGAUUGGAUAAAUCCGAUAAUCCACGAGUAACUAUGUAAAAAUCUGUUUCUCUAAUGAUUAAAAAGACAUUUUCUUUUUUUGUUAACCGAAAAUCCCCUUCGAGUGCCUUUCACAUUGCACGAAGUUGUCAAUUUCAUUAACACCUGUUAUCAUAUUUUGAUUCAUUCAGUUAGCUAAAAAGGUCAUGACCCUUAAAAUCAUCCAAUGAUCUUUUAGAUCACCAGCAACCACACGUUGAUUAAAUUUUUUUAUACAAUGGGUUCGGAAAGGGAUAAAUUUCCAUAGAGUUAGAGACUACUUUUCAAUAAUAUAACUUGGUAUUAAUUGUCUGUUAUAAGGUCCGGGAACACAGUUGUCGUCCUUUGAUUUUCGUCUUUACUGUGGACAGUGCAUCUGUCACCAAGGUCCAGACACUGUUAGAUAAGGGGAAGCUAAUUCGUAUAUGAUGGAACCAAGGGACAGUGGUCAGUCAAUCGCUAGACUUAAAUGUCUUAUAGGCAUAGCUAAAAACAAAAUACUAAACUCUGAGGGAAAAUCGAACAAUAAAACACAUCAAAUGAAUGGAAAACAACAAGGAAUGUUUUCAUAAUUUAAUAAAAAUCGGUUAAUGAUGGUAACAAAUCAAUCAGUAAACAAUGCCAAUUAACAAUAAUCUAAUUCAAGUACCAGGA
rnacentral:lncRNA from 1 species